AACGGUCUAUACCUGCGGUACCUGCGGAGGGAUCAUUAAAGAAAUAAACUUGAUGGAUUGUUGCUGGCUCUCGAGCAUCGUGCACAUCCGUCAUUUUUAUCUUUCCACCAUGUGCACCCCGCAUAGAGGUCCGAAUCUCAACGUCGCUUGAGAAUUCUUCGCAUUUGGGAAUUGCGGAUUUCACGAUUCGCUCUCUCCCUACCGUUCGGGCCCUAUGUUUUUUCAAUAUACACCAUGUAU
rnacentral:misc_RNA from 1 species